AACGAACGCUGGCGGCAUGCCUAACACAUGCAAGUCGAACGAGACCUUCGGGUCUAGUGGCGCACGGGUGCGUAACGCGUGGGAACCUGCCCUUAGGUUCGGAAUAACUCCCCGAAAGGUGUGCUAAUACCGGAUAAUGUCUUCGGACCAACGAUUUAUCGCCUUUGGAUGGGCCCGCGUUGGAUUAGCUAGUUGGUAGGGUAAAAGCCUACCAAGGCGACGAUCCAUAGCUGGUCUGAGAGGAUGACCAGCCACACUGGGACUGAGACACGGCCCAGACUCCUACGGGAGGCAGCAGUGGGGAAUAUUAGGGGCUGGGCGAAAGCCUGAUCAAGCAAUGCCGCGUGAGUGAUGAAGGCCUUAGGGUUGUAAAGCUCUUUUACCCGGGAUGAUAAUGACAGUACCGGGAGAAUAAGCUCCGGCUAACUACGUG
rnacentral:rRNA from 1 species